CCCCCAAAAUGUUCCACGUCAACCUGAGAGGGCACGAGGAGCCUCAGUUUAACCUAUAAUGAAGAAGGCAGCACACCUCGCAGAGAAAGACUCAGUAAUGUGCAAGUUUCCUUUAAUUCCUUCGCAUCAGCAAAACCAAGUAUAGACUAGACAACUAUUUUGCUAAACAUGCCCUUGGAGCUUGCCAUUUUUAACUUCCCUUCCAAUAUUGGCCUUUAUGUCCCUGGCCUCCUCCAUUGCCAGAGUGAGGCCACAUGUAAACCAGAAAAACAGCACAUCAUAUUCCAUUUUGGUAAGUUACAACCCAACAGUAUGAACAACAAAUUCUUCAAUUUCAAGUAAUACUGCCAUUCCCUCCACAGCUAUUGCCCGACCUGUUGAGUUCCUCCAGCACUUUUUAUUUUUGAUCAGUAUUCAUCAUCUCCAAUUUCUUGUGUCAUCUCAAGUUUAAUAUGUUGUCUUCAAGACUCCAUAGUCAGGCUUCAAGCCAAGUGAUUGCAUCUCCACAUCUGCAAGGGAAGCAUGCACGAGUAAAGACUUGGAUCCCAUCUUCAUCAGGGGACAAAAUAUCAUCUGAAACAGCAGAUUCUUCCAGUACAUUGGGCGAUAUAUUCUGGAAACGAGGACAGAAGAAUGAUAUGGGUUUACAGAUGCCUAUUGCGUACAGUGUUAUCUGCU